UACGGAGGGUGCAAGCGUUAUCCGGAUUUAUUGGGUUUAAAGGGUCCGCAGGCGGACUUGUAAGUCAGGGGUGAAAUCCGGCAGCUUAACUGUCGAACUGCCUUUGAAACUGCAAGUCUUGAGUGAGGUUGAAGUAGCUGGAAUGAGUAGUGUAGCGGUGAAAUGCAUAGAUAUUACUCAGAACACCAAUAGCGAAGGCAGGUUACUAAGUCUUAACUGACGCUGAGGGACGAAAGCGUGGGGAGCGAAC
rnacentral:rRNA from 1 species